CUAAGUUUGAUGGCGACCGGCGCACGGGUGAGUAACACGUAUCCAACCUGCCGAUGACUCGGGGAUAGCCUUUCGAAAGAAAGAUUAAUACCCGAUGGCAUAGUUCUCCCGCAUGGUAGAACUAUUAAAGGAUUUCGGUCAUCGAUGGGGAUGCGUUCCAUUAGGUUGUUGGCGGGGUAACGGCCCACCAAGCCUUCGAUGGAUAGGGGUUCUGAGAGGAAGGUCCCCCACAUUGGAACUGAGACACGGUCCAAACUCCUACGGGAGGCAGCAUG
rnacentral:rRNA from 1 species